rnacentral:tRNA from 2 species
GCCGGAAUAGCUCAGUUGGUAGAGCACCUCACUCGUAAUGAGGGGGUCGUCAGUUCGAGUCUGAUUUCCGGCU